ACCAUUUUGAGUCUUUGAUAAAACUGAGAUUCAAACCUGGAUCCCUUGACUGUGGGGCAGCCGUAAGAACCACCAGGACACCGUGCCGCCACAAUAAUCCAACUGUCUGCUCAACACCCCUGAUUGGUCGCCAUCAGAGCACGUGGUCGCCAGGUUGGACAGCUGCCGGUAUUUCUCGGCCAACUGGAUUCUGCCAUUAUUGAGGCGGGGCCGGCGGGCCAGACUUUCGUCGGCCAGGCUGCGGUUGGACGCCAUCAUCAUCUCCCUGUCCACUUGGAGCUCCUGAAACUGGAAGGUGUGACCUUGAUAACGUACGUUUACGGGUUGGAUUGAGCGCGGCGAAUAAAUGCAAUUCUAGCCAGCAAAAGCGAGGACUUCAUUUAUGCAAAGCCGGAUGUUCUCCCCUGAGGCUUGUAGCCAAUCUAUUGGCACGUCGCAUAAUUAACGCUUUGGGCAAUUACGUAACGGCGCAGUCGGUUUUCAAUACAGUAACAAAAAAAGGGAAGCGGCAAUGAUUCAGUAUCGUGAAUCAUAACAAGCGAAUCACUUUGCAUAAUGCUUCGGUGUCGGGGUAAAUGAAACAAGCGGAAAUCGUCGGAUGAGUUGCAAACUGAACCAAACAAUGUCGCUGGAAUCUUCCUCGCCACCCGGUGUCAAAUCUCGAGUCCUUUUCGUAAGAAAGCCCAAGACUUAACAAACAAGCGACGCUUUUGCUAAGUAAACGCAGCAUGUUGGUGUCAAUUGGAAACACAUCCCCAAAGGUGGGGCAUCUAAUAAAGAUGCUAGAAGAACCAUCAUCCCCUUUAGCAGGUUUUUACAGGGACACUGGGAGCUGCAAAGGAAAUUGAGUGCAUGAUGGAGACUAUGUUCAAGAGGAGCCCCGGACACCCGUCAGGUCACCAGAAAGCAGCAUGUGCCGCAAAGCUGCACGUUCCCUCUGGUCCAGACAAGGAGAAUCUAAAAAGUUCCAACACCGCGUGUUACAUCGGCGUGGCUGCGAUGCAUCCAGACGAGACACAACACCGAUUAACAACAGUUUUGGUCGGAAUGGGAUGAGGUUCCAUGGGCACUUCGGGGUCAUGUCCGAAGGGGGCACAUGCAGCUCCGAAGAUUUCUGUCGAAACUGAACGUAUUGAUGGUUUGAAACAAAGCCGAAUUGUAUAAUAGAGUACAAAA